GAAGUCGGUCAGGCAAUCGCUCUUUGCUCAGUCAAGGAGAGGAAAGUCCGGGCUCCAUAGGGUAAAGUGCCAGGUAACGCCUGGGAGGCGUGAGCCUACGGAAAGUGCCACAGAAAAUAUACCGCCUGUUGCUUUUGCUGCAGGUAAGGGUGAAAUGGUGCGGUAAGAGCGCACCGCGCGACUGGCAACAGUCGUGGCAGGGUAAACCCCACUCGGAGCAAGACCAAAUAGGAAUCCAACUGGCUUUGGCCGGUAAGUAUGACCCAUACUGGAUUCGGGUAGGUCGCUUGAGGCAUGCGGUGACGCAUGUCCCAGAUGAAUGGUUGUCCAAGACAGAACCCGGCUUAUCGACCGGCUUUAAUU
rfam:Legionella jordanis strain BL-540 Ljor_ctg011, whole genome shotgun sequence.